UUCCAUUAAUAUAUAGUUCUAGAACAAGCAAAACAAAUCUAUAGUGAUAGAAUAGUAGCUGUUGCUAGGAGAUGCGAAAGGAUAGACCAGGAAAGAACAUGAGAUAAUUUAAAACGUAGGUUUUAUUAUUAUUCAGGUAUGCUGAGGCCAACAGAUCAGGAGAUGACCACCAUUAAAAAGAUUUUGUUACUCACAGUUCCCAAGAGGAGGGGGCCACUUCACACUAUGCAAGGCCACAUGGGGAAGCACCAGGGUCAGUUAGGAGGCAGGAGGAGUCAGAGGAAAGAAAACAAGGCUGCUCAUUUUCAGAGCAAACAUGAGAUGACCAGAAGCAGACGUGGUUAUGACCAAUAGGAAGGUGCUAGACAGCUGGUGACGAGCAGCUGCUCUAUUUCCACUGAGAACCAAAUAAGAGUUUGCAAAGAGGAUUUGGGUCACCAGUUAGCCAUUUCCAGGAAGAACUCUGAAACUCAGGGGCUGAAAGCCAUUGGAAUGUUAUAGAACAGACUCACCAAUCUGCCCUCAAUGUUAAAAAAGGACAUGA